rnacentral:rRNA from 1 species
CAGUAGCCGCGGGAAAACGGAGGGGGCUAGCGUUGUUCGGAAUUACUUGGCGUAAAGCGCACGUAAGCGGCUUGGUAAGUUAGAGGUGAAAGCCUGGAGCUCAACUCCAGAAUCGCCUUUAAGACUGCCGAGCUAGCAGGUGAGAGAGGUAAGUGGAAUUCCGAGUGUAGAGGUGAAAUUCGUAGAUAUUCGGAAGAACACCAGUGGCGAAGGCGGCUUACUGGCUCAUACUGGACGCUGAGGUGCGAAAGCGUGGGGAGCAAACAGGAUUAGAGACCCGGGUAGUCCCUGUCUCUUAUAC